rnacentral:rRNA from 1 species
GGGGAAUUUUGCACAAUGGGCGAAAGCCUGAUGCAGCGACGCCGCGUGCGGGAUGAAGGCCUUCGGGUUGUAAACCGCUUUCAGCAGGGACGAGGCCGCAAGGUGACGGUACCUGCAGAAGAAGCCCCGGCUAACUACGUGCCAGCAGCCGCGGUAAUACGUAGGGGGCAAGCGUUAUCCGGAUUCAUUGGGCGUAAAGAGCUCGUAGGCGGCCCGUUAGGUCAGGAGUCAAAUUCGGGGGCUCAACCCCCGCGCGCUUCUGAUACCGGCGGGCUUGAGUUUGGUAGGGGAAGGUGGAAUUCCCAGUGUAGCGGUGGAAUGCGCAGAUAUUGGGAAGAACACCGGUGGCGAAGGCGGCCUUCUGGGCCAUAACUGACGCUGAGGAGCGAAAGCUAGGGGAGCGAAC